UACAGAGGUGGCAAGCGUUGCUCGGUAUCACUGGGCUUAAAGGGCGCGUAGGCGGUGCGGUGCGGUUCCGGUGAAAUCCCUCGGCCCAACCGAGGAACAGCCGGGGCUACGGCCGCGCUCGACGGCAUCAGGGGACAGUGGAACUCCCGGUGGAGCGGUGAAAUGCGUAGAUAUCGGGAGGAACGCCGGUGGCGAAAGCGACUGUCUGGGGUGCUUGUGACGCUGAGGCGCGAAAGCCAGGGGAUCAAACGGG
rnacentral:rRNA from 1 species